rnacentral:sRNA from 1 species
CACAAUCCUCUCUUGAAUCUGUAAAUUCUGAAAAGCAAAGGAGCUUUUCUUGAAUAUACGAUUCGCUAACACCCAAAAAAAUCUCGCCAAUCCCUCCUCAAGUUUUCACCAGCACCCUUACCACCAGCACCAAAACCCAUCCGUCAUCAUGCUGAAGGGACAGACCCGCCAGGACAUCCACGAGGAUGACAACAGCGGCCGUAAGAGCACCAUCUCCACCAGGGCCUUCGUGUUCACACGCUCCGACCCGCUGAUCAAGGCCCGCUCCGGCUCUCUGUACAGCUCCCGCUCCUCCAUGAAUACACGCAGCUCCAUCAGCCCCGGCGUCAUGCAGCAGCUGUCCAGCUCCGGAAUCACCGACUUCCGUGGCAACCGCGAGAAGGAGAAGAGAGAGAUGCAGAACCUGAACGAGCGUCUGGCCAGCUACAUCGAGAAGGUCCACUUCCUGGACGCCCAGUGCAAGAAGCUGGAGGCUGAGAAUGAGGCUCUGCGCAACCGCAAGAUGGAGGACCUCCAGCCCAUCCGUGACGCCUACGAGAACGAGCUGGCCCAGGCCCGCAAAGUCAUCGACGAGCUGAGCUCCUCCAAGGGUGUAGCUGAGGCCAAGCUGGUGGGCCUCCAGGACGAGAUCUCCCAGCUCCGUGACCUG